UUGUCCGGAAUUCAUGGGCGUAAAGGGUGCGUAGGCGGUCUAUUAAGUUGGAUGUGAAAUCCCCGGGCUUAACUUGGGGUCUGCAUCCAAUACUGGGAGACUAGAGUGCAGGAGAGGGAAGCGGAAUUCCUAGUGUAGCGGUGAAAUGCGUAGAUAUUAGGAGGAACACCAGUGGCGAAGGCGGCUUUCUGGACUGUAACUGACGCUGAGGCACGAAAGCGUGGGGAGCAAACAGGAUUAGAUACCCUGGUAGUCCACGCUGUAAACGAUGAAUACUAGGUGUAGGGGGUAUCAACUCCCCCUGUGCCGGAGCAAACGCAAUAAGUAUUCCGCCUGGGGAGUACGGCCGCAAAGUUGAAACUCAAAGGAAUUGACGGGGGCCCGCACAAGCAGCGGAGCAUGUGGUUUAA
rnacentral:rRNA from 1 species